rnacentral:rRNA from 1 species
AAUCAACGCUGGCGGCGUGCCUCAGACAUGCAAGUCGAACGAUUAAAGCUCUCUUCGGAGAGUGCAUAGAGUGGCGCACGGGUGAGUAACACGUAAGUAAUCUACCUUUGAGUGGGGAAUAACGUUCGGAAACGGACGCUAAUACCGCAUAAUGCAGCGGCAUCGCAAGAUGACAGUUGUUAAAGGAGCAAUCCGCUUAA